GACAUGCAUCUCAGUUAAUCUGAUUGAUUACUUUCAGCCUUGAGAAGAGGGUCAACAAAAAAGUUAUGGCAAUGUUCGAGAAAGCUGAAGAUGAAUACAAUGACUUAUUAUCCAAGAAAAAUAUCAUUGAGAAUGAUAAGUCAAAAAUCAAGAAGGUGAUUGAAGAGUUUGAUGAAAAGAAGAAGGAAACACUAAAAGUUACUUGGGUUAAAGUGAACAAGCUGACAAACUAAAGAAGUCAAUGGAGGAUGAAAGUGAU